AGCCAUUCAGUAUCGUAGCCAAUGAGGUUUAUCCGAGGCGCGAUUAUUGCUAAUUGAAAAAAGAACAGCCAUUGAUGCUCAAUGGCUAGAUCUGUUACUUCAUUGGAGAU
rnacentral:snRNA from 1 species